rnacentral:rRNA from 1 species
AGCGAACGCUGGCGGCAGGCCUAACACAUGCAAGUCGAACGAACCUUUCGGGGUUAGUGGCGGACGGGUGAGUAACACGUGGGAACGUGCCUUUAGGCUCGGAAUAACUCAGGGAAACUUGUGCUAAUACCGAAUGUGCCCUUCGGGGGAAAGAUUAAUCGCCUUUAGAGCGGCCCGCGUCGGAUUAGCUAGUUGGUUGAGGUAAUGGCUCACCAAGGCGACGAUCAGUAGCUGGUCUGAGAGGAUGAUCAGCCACAUUGGGACGGAGACACGGCCCAGACUCCUACGGGAGGGAGCAGUGGGGGAUCUUGCGAAAUGGGCGAAGGCAUGACGCAGCCAUGCCGCGUGAAUGAUGAAGGUCUUAGGAUUGUAAAAUUCUUUCACCGGGGACGAUAAUGACGGUACCCAGAGAAGAAGCCCCGGCUAACUUCGUG